rnacentral:rRNA from 1 species
CCAUUCUGGAUGAACCCCGGGAACUGGGGCUAAUCCCAGAUAGAUGAGGACCCCUGGAAUGGGUUUUCGUCCAAAAGGCAUCAUGGUUAUGCUCUGUGGUGUCGCUCAAGGAUGGGGCCGCGUCCGAUCAGGCUGUUGGUGAGGUAAUGGCUCACCAAACCUUUAACCGGUACGGGCCGUGGGAGCGGGAGCCCGGAGAUGGGAACUGAGACAAGGUCCCAGGCCCUACGGGGCGCAGCAGUUACGAAAACUUGUCAAUGCACGAAAGUGUGAACGGGCUACCCCGAGUGCCGUCCGCUGAGGAUGGCUUUUCUCUGCUGUAAGAAGGCAGAGGAAUAAGGCGAGGGCAAGUCUGGUGUCAGCCGCCGCGGUAAUACCAGCUCGCCGAGUGGUAGGGAUGAUUAUUGGGCCUGAAGCGUCCGUAGCUGGCCUUUCAAGUCUCUUGUUAAAUCCAACGAUUCAAUCGCUGGACUGCAGGAGAUACUGCAAGGCUAGGAGGCGAGAGAAGCCGACGGUAUUUUCGGGGUAGGGGUAAAAUCCUAUAAUCCCGAGAAGACCACCAGUGGCGAAGGCGGUCGGCUAGCGCGCGCUCGACAGUGAGGGACGAAAGCUGGGGGAGCGAACCGGAUUAGAUACCCGGGUAGUUCCAGCUGUAAACGAUGCUAGCUAGGUGUUGAAGCGGCCACGAGCCGCUUCAGUGCCGCAGGAAAGCCAUUAAGCUAGCCGCCUGGGGAGUACGGCCGCAAGGCUGAAACUUAAAGGAAUUGGCGGGGGAGCAC